rnacentral:rRNA from 1 species
AGUGGCGGACGGGUGAGUAACGCGUGGGUAACCUGCCUCAUACAGGGGGAGUACAGUUAGAAAUGACUGCUAAUACCGCAUAAGACCACGGAGCCGCAUGGCUCAGUGGGAAAAACUCCGGUGGUAUGAGAUGGACCCGCGUCUGAUUAGGUAGUUGGUGGGGUAACGGCCUACCAAGCCAACGAUCAGUAGCCGACCUGAGAGGGUGACCGGCCACAUUGGGACUGAGACACGGCCCAA